UGGCGAUAACAAGUGAAAUUUUUGGUUGGGUGUUGAUAUACACACGCACAAAUUCCAAUAACUAAAUCAUCCACGGAAAAAGAAGUUCCACGUUUAGGAGUAUAUUUGUAAUGAAGUGCAGGAGGCGAAGCGCCCGUGUGUCCUUUCAAAAAGUUAGCACGCGUUGGUGACCAUAAAAAGUUAGGUUAUGUUAGCAACGGCUGCAAUGCUGCAAUUAAAGAAUGCACGAAUGCGAAAUUUAACAAAUUUUUGUGGCAAAAGGAAGCAUUUGCAUAACAUUUGAAGAUGAGGAACGUGAUCAAAAGAUGCUGUAGAAGAGCUUUGCACAAACAGUUUGUGCGAAAUCGAGAAGCGCGUGUUCUGCGCGAUGUUACGGAGUUAGAUAAGCGCAAAUGUAGUUCAUUUUCAAACUGUUUUUCAGAAGUUGAAGGCGCAUUGAUGACCAGUGGGACCAAGGGCCUUUGGUGGUUAAAUAUGCCUUUAUAUACAUGGACACCAGAUGCAUGUGCUUAGAAAGAUGAUUUUUGAUUAAGAACUCAGAGCAAGAGUAUCUUUAAUGGUGUAUACAAAUUUGACAAACAACGCAUUUUAAUGUCUGAUAACUACAUUUCCUAUCCAUCAGUUCUACUUCAUGAAAGUUAGUUUUGGUUUGUGAGUGCAUUAAAUGUUUUACAGCAGAUUCUUUAGCUACAUUAUCAAAACUUAUCUGGGUGGCAAGUUUAUGGGACUUACUGACCAAAAGGUCAUGGUGAAUAGCUUAGUUUCUUCAAAGUGUCUAAAUAUGUUUCCAGCCCUCUAUUGGUUUACCACCAAAAUAUUUGUAUUUCAAAGAUCUGUGCAAAGAUUUGGCGUGCAUGUUGGUGUUAAUGCCUGCGUUCUUUUGAUAACACUGGGCCCAUGACUUCAUGCGCUCUUUAUUUUGAAAGUAGCAUUCCAAUAUGUAGCUGUAACUAUCAUCUGUCAUGAAAUAAUUGGGUACCAAAACCGAUAUUAAUGAUUUUAUUUCACCAACCAGAACCUCUUAUAUGUUGGUGUCCUUUCAGUUGGACAGAAUAAAUGUUACUGGAUAAUCAAUAUUUUUAUCAUCUAACACAUGGACUUGUGGUCAAUUCAAUGUCAUAGAGGUUUGUCCCAUGUGUGCCAUCUACACAAAUGAUUUUGGCGCCAUAUUUUUUUAACAUAUACUCCAGCCCACUGUACAUGGAAGCUAAUGCAGUCAUUUUUGUGCAAUUUUUCAUGUUCUGAUGGACAACAAGAUUUUCCUUACUUCAUUUACCAGAUAUAUUAUUUUUUCUGCAAUGUGGGGAAUGUCUUUCAUAGUCAGAAGAUUAAAUCUGGUACAUGAACUGAGUUCUAGAUUUUUAACAGUUUCAAUUAUUUUUUCGUGUGUUAAACCAGUGCGAAUUUGUUCAACUAGAUAUG